rnacentral:lncRNA from 1 species
CCCUCAUCUUCCUGUCUUUAAGUUCUCCCAGCUGUUCUAGCCUCUGCUCAUUACCCAGUUCUACAGGGCAUGUCUGUAGUCACUGUUACUACACUUUGUCUACUGAUUCCCUGAUAUCAGCUUUGAGUCUCUCCUAGUUUGGGGCUGUGUUUUCCUGCUCCUUCGUGUGUGUUGGAAUCAUUUACUGGAUACCAGGUGGAGUUUGUAGUUGAUGCCGUUGGGUGAUAGGUCUGCUUACACACCUUUGAGGCCUGGCGGCCUUUGUUCUGAGUUUGAGAAGUGGCUUAGACUCUGUGGGACCUUCCCCAGGCAUUGUCAGGGUAAGCCCAGAGUCACCCCGGGGAGGGUGAAGCUGGUCCCCUGGCUGGUGGGGCUCAGGUGACCACAGACCUGUGUGCAGGUUCUUGGCAUGUCUGGUGCACAGUUCAGGAGUGGGCUGGGAGCUCAUCCUUUCCACCUCUCAGCUGGACGUGCUGGGUCCCCGAUGGCUGUGGCCUGGAACCUGCUCCACAGUGAACUGGGCGGGUACCAGGGUCUGCCGGCCUCUUGCACCCUCCAUCCAGCUGUCUGGCCUUUGUGUGUUGAGGACAGGAGCCCACACCAGGCCCAUCCUGGGUUGUGGCCACAUCCCUCCACGGUGUCUGUGCGUGCCAUGACGUGGUCUGUGCGGUGCUAGGUCUUGUCUGAUGCUUUGCUUGAGCAAAGGACGCUGGGUGUCUGCCUUCCCUUCACUCACUGCUAAGGGUAAUGUCUGUCCUCCAGGCCUGUCCACCUGUCUGCUGUGAGCUCGUCCACUCAGUUUCCAGAGCAAUUAUUGUCCUGAGCAGAGAGGCCUGUCUGGAUGGGCAGUGUGCUCCUGCCCUUAGGGUAGACGGGCCGGCUGAGCUCAGCCGACGUGGGGUCAUGUCCUGUUUACACAGGGAAGGUGAAGAAGGAGCUGGACCCUGACGACAGCCAUUUGAACUUGGAUGAGACGACGAAGCUCCUGCAGGACCUGCACGAAGCACAGGCGGAGCGCGGCGGCUCUCGGCCGUCGUCCAACCUCAGCUCCCUGUCCAACGCCUCCGAGAGGGACCAGCACCACCUGGGAAGCCCUUCUCGCCUGAGUGUCGGGGAGCAGCCAGACGUCACCCACGACCCCUAUGAGUUUCUUCAGUCUCCAGAGCCUGCGGCCUCUGCCAAGACCUAACUCUAGACCACCUUCAGCUCUUUUAUUUUAUUUUUUUAGUUUUAUUUUGCACGUGUAGAGUUUUUGUCAUCAGACAAGGACUUUGAUCCUGUCCCCUUUGGCAUGCGGGAAGCAGCCGCGGGGAGGUAAUGAAUUGUCUGUGGUAUCAUGUCAGCAGAGUCUCCAAGCCCCACGAACCCUGAGGAGUGGAGUCAUACGCGAAGGCCAUAUGGCCAUCGUGUCAGCAGAGAGAGUCUCUGUACACAGCCCCGUGAACCCUGAGGAGUGGAGUCAUACACGAAGGGCGUGUGGCCAUCGUGUCAGCAGAGAGAGUCUCUGUACACAGCCCCGUGAACCCUGAGGAGUGGAGUCAUACGCGAAGGGUGUGUGGCCAGGCUGCAGAGCUGCGUGCCGUUUGUGUCCGAGCAUCACGUGUGGCUCCAGCCCUUGUUUCUGCCAGUGUAGACACCUCUGUCUGCCCCACUGUCCUGGGGUCGCUCUUGGGAGGCACAGGCAUGGGUGUGUCUGGCCUCAUUCUGUAUCAGUCCAGUGUGUUCCUGUCAUAGUUUGUGUCUCCCAGGCAGGCCAUGGUAGGGGCCUCGCAGGGGCCAUUGGGGAGCACAGGGCCAGGCUGGGGUGAGGAGAGCUCCCCUGUUUUCUGUUUAAUUGAUGAGCCUGGGAAAGGAGUGUGUUCUGCCUGCCCGUUACAGUGGAGCGUUCCGUGUCCAUAAAACGUUUUCUAACUGGG